rnacentral:lncRNA from 1 species
UGGUUCCUCUAGAAAUCUUGAGUUUGUUUGCAGUUGUUUGUUACGCUCUAAUUGACUUUCAAUAUAUUUGCACCUUCAAUUUAAAAUUCUCUUUUAGACCUUAUGAUGAUUCUAUGCUGAUGAUUCGGUAUAAAUUUCUUUUGUUUCCAUUUUUAUCUAGGAUGUGUGGAGUGAACUGGGAUGCCCUUGUGGAAUUCAUCAAAAACAAGUAUCACUUUCGCUGUCUUUGUUUACAAGCUUCUGGAACAUUCACUAGGGAUGCUGUCUAUUUGUGCUGUGUCCAUGGGGUUCCUGUAGUUAAAUUGUGAGGGAUUGACCUUGUGAGUUUAACAGGUGGACCAAAUGGUAAUUCAUACUCGCCCACGAACAACUCUCAGUGGUGAUUACUUCUAUAAUUACUUCACUCAAGGCUUGUAAAUAUUAUUCUAUGGGCAGGUAUCCAAUACUUACUUCCAGAUGGUAGAUGGUAUCUUCAUUGUCAUACUUAAAUGAGAUGAUUAAAAGCAUUUUUGGGAGUUGUUUCAUAUUAUGAACAAAAGGCAAACGAUCUCUGCAACAAUAAACAAUGUUCUACUUUUUAACGCUGACACUGGGAAGCCCAGAUACUAUUGUGUUAGCCUUUGUUACCACGAAGGCUGUUGCUUGUUAUUUUCAUGAUUCUACAAGAGUUGUGUUUAUUUGCUAAUAUAUUAUAAACAAUAUUAAACUUGGGAUGAUCUAAUUUCGCCUUCUUUGGCAGCAGCAUGAUACAGCAUGCUCUGGUUUGAAAUGUCAUCUUUGCUUUCUUUGGUUGAAAGGUUAUUUUCGUAAGUACCUUUAGCUAGUUCGAUGCUUGAUGUGGUCUCUCUUCUGAUAAAAUAGUACUAAUUUACGGUUUUUCUUUUCUUCGAUAUGCAAGUAUGUAACAACAUUGCAAUUCCUUUUGUAAGCUGUAAGUGUACUGGUGAAUGGGGAUUGGGACAAAAUGGGACACUGAAUACCCAG